ACGCACCGAACGAAGAUUGGCGCAAGACUCGGCCCAAAUCUCCCGAACUCUCCUCCAAAUCGCCCCCAAAUCUAGUCCGAUGUGUGCCCUCGUCGCCGCCGCCCCCAAACGCGAUGUGCCCUUGCCGCCGCCGCCGCCGCCGCCCCCGCCCCCAACCACCGCACCCAGCCUCCUCCAUCUGACUAUGUUCUCACCCCCAAGCAGCGGAUCGUCCGUCCCCUCUCACCCAUGUCGCCGCCGCCUCCUCACAUGCGUCACCGCAUCCCUUAUCUUCUCGCCGGCGGCGCCUCUUUCUUUCGCCCCACAUCGCCUCUCGGUGGAGUUAAAGGUGGCUUUUUGGUGAAGAGGAGGUGUGGCGGCGGCAAGGAGCAGCGAAAGGAGCUGUGCAGCCGGAUGAUUCUGAAGCUGCUGGAUCUGAAGCGGGACGAUGUCGCCGUGUAGCUGGAGCGGUAGGAGCGUGGGCACGCGGCGGCCUUCUCCUGCUUGAUGGCGACAGCGACGAACACGAGGGCUCCCCAUCGCCCUCGACCUGUAAGGAGGAGCGCCUACCCCCAGGUCGGGCCUGAGAUGUGCAGCAGCAGCAGCAGGGGGCGAGGAGGCAGGCGUCGUGGUGGUGGGCUCGUCUUUGAGGCACUCGAGGUCGUGCGCGGCAUCAUGGACGCCCGGCAGCUGCGGGUCCCCAUUCAGGCUGCGGCAUCUCCUCCAUGCGCGCCGCCAUGGUCCUCUGCUGCGUCAACAGCGAAUUGUGGAGAUGUCUGUGUCUGCAGGUAAACCUCUUGCGCCUGACCAUGAGCACUAGCGAGCUGCUGGGCUGAACAUGCUGGGGACAUGUUGUCCGUGAACAUAUAGUUGACCGUGAGGACAGUAACUUCAGGAGCUGCUAAUAAUUCAGCUACUCCCCUGCCCCUGAUAUUUCUCUCGUUGUUGUCUGUACAUGCUCGGAAUAACUUGACUCCUUCAGCUACUGUUAAUUGUUGACUUGUUGUUGUUGUUGUUAUUUGAACAUGCUGGGUGUACUGUAGGAGUACUUGUAUUGUUGCUUAAAUAUUUGCUUGGAGUAAAUGAUGUAGUUCAACUGAAAUCAAAAUUUCCGAAAUAAUGUUUAUCAAGGGUUGUAUGUACUGAAAUCAACAUCUCUGAAACAACAUUCAGAUAUGCGGGAUUCUAAUGCCUGAUAAUAUGGUUGAGAUAUGCUAGAUAAUGCUCCAUUUCAAAUUGGAUAAUGCUAGAUAGUGUGAGAUGCCGUCCGACAAACUGGGCACAUCCACCUCCGUGCCACUGUUUCCGGGGCAGAUUUAUUUUUUGAGGGGCGUUUCCUGGGCAAAUUGUGUUGGCAGGUGACGAAAUAGAUCUGGGCGCGUGGCCGGUGGCGGAGGGAUCCAGCCCUAGGAAGGCAGGAACAACUUUCAUCCUCGACUACUCAUCCCCACCUGUGAAAUUAGCUGGAAGUGAAUAAGUCUGGCAAAAGCAACAAUGCGAUCACAUGCUAGUCUCGAGGGAUUUCUCAAAGAUACACAAGCUGAUGGUGGUUUGGAAGAUGUACAAGUUGCUGGAGGUUUGGAAGAUCUACAAGUUGCUGGAGUGACAAUGUAUAUGUAAUAUACCUUAUUUGUUGAACCUUGAGACAUCGGCAAGUUUUAUACUACCUUUGGUUGGUUGUUUCAGCACACAAGCCAUUGUAUGCUUAUUUUGGUUGUGUGGCACGAUUUCUUUAGCUUAAACAUAUGUACUUUGCCUUCUGAGGCACAAUGUCAUUAGAAACGUAUAUUUUUUAUCUGUUUUAUGUUAUUGAA